rnacentral:rRNA from 1 species
CCCGCAACGAGCGCAACCCUUAUCCUUUGUUGCCAGCGGUUCGGCCGGGAACUCAAAGGAGACUGCCAGUGAUAAACUGGAGGAAGGUGGGGUUGACGUCAAGUCAUCAUGGCCCUUACCAGUAGGGCUACACACGUGCUACAAUGGCGCACACAAAGAGAAGCGACCUCGCGAGAGCAAGCGGACCUCAUAAAGUGCGUCGUAGUCCGGAUCGGAGUCUGCAACUCGACUCCCUGAAGUCCGAAUCGCUAGUAAUCGUAGAUCAGAAUGCUACGGUGAAUACCUU